rnacentral:rRNA from 1 species
AAAAGGCGGCGUAAGCUGUCGCUAAAGGAUGGACCCGCGGUGCAUUAGCUAGUUGGUAAGGUAACGGCUUACCAAGGCGACGAUGCAUAGCCGAGUUGAGAGACUGAUCGGCCACAUUGGGACUGAGACACGGCCCAAACUCCUACGGGAGGCAGCAGUAGGGAAUCUUCCACAAUGGGCGAAAGCCUGAUGGAGCAACGCCGCGUGAGUGAAGAAGGUUUUCGGAUCGUAAAGCUCUGUUGUUGGUGAAGAAGGAUAGAGGUAGUAACUGGCCCCUAUUUGACGGUAAUCAACCAGAAAGUCACGGCUAACUACGUGCCAGCAGCCGCGGUAAUACGUAGGUGGCAAGCGUUGUCCGGAUUUAUUGGGCGUAAAGCGAGCGCAGGCGGAAAGAUAAGUCUGAUGUGAAAGCCCCCGGCUUAACCGAGGAAUUGCAUCGGAAACUGUGUUUCUUGAGUGCAGAAGAGGAGAGUGGAACUUCAUGUGUAGCGGUGGAAUGCGUAGAUAUAUGGAAGAACACCAGUGGCGAAGGCGGCUCUCUGGUCUGUAACUGACGCUGAGGCUCGAAAGCAUGGGUAGCGAACAGGAUUAGAUACCCUGGUAGUCCAUGCCGUAAACGAUGAGUGCUAAGUGUUGGGAGGUUUCCGCCUCUCA